CCGCAAUCCCCUCUAUCCGACGUCGCAAAUCCUUCCUACUCUGCAAUCAGGCGACACUUUCCCCUUCAUCCAUUGCCGCUAUCCCCGCUGCCUGACGCUGCAAGCCACCUCCCUUAUGGCGGACUGGUGCUUCAGCCCGACCGGAGACUGAGGAGGUCAUCUUCUCUGGUGUGUGAUCAGCUUGGGCUUCAUAUCCUCCUGCGGAGAUCCGCGACGGAGCUGCAAGAGACCAACUGCUGCUAAAGAAACGAUUUGCUGUUGUUAUGGGACAAAUCAGAGACUACAGAGCAGAAGAUUUCAGCACUGCUUCUGCUCUCAAUUUUACAGCUUCGUUGAAGAGAACAAAAUCUUGAGAUGGCUGGUCCCCCAAAGGAGACGGUGCAGGGCACUGAGAGGCUGAUUCGGAUCCAUGAGAUGAGGCGGACCCAACAACUUGAUUUGGGGAUGAAGAUGGCAAACACAGACCAUGCAACGGUUGGCUGGGGAGGGGAGCAACGGUUGGAAGCAGCAACGGCCACUUGCAAUUUAAAAUUUGUUGUCAGAAAUCAACUCUGUUGUUGCCGACAGUAGUACUAGUAUCUGGUUGUAA